rnacentral:rRNA from 1 species
AGAGUUUGAUCAUGGCUCAGGACGAACGCUGGCGGCGUGCCUAAUACAUGCAAGUCGAGCGGACGAAUCGAAAGCUUGCUUUUGAUUCGUUAGCGGCGGACGGGUGAGUAACACGUGGGCAACCUGCCCUGUAGACGGGGAUAACACCGAGAAAUCGGUGCUAAUACCGGAUAACACGAAAUGUCGCAUGACGUUUCGUUGAAAGACGGCGCAAGCUGUCGCUACAGGAUGGGCCCGCGGCGCAUUAGCUAGUUGGUGAGGUAACGGCUCACCAAGGCGACGAUGCGUAGCCGACCUGAGAGGGUGAUCGGCCACACUGGGACUGAGACACGGCCCAGACUCCUACGGGAGGCAGCAGUAGGGAAUCUUCCGCAAUGGACGAAAGUCUGACGGAGCAACGCCGCGUGAGCGAAGAAGGCCUUCGGGUCGUAAAGCUCUGUUGUUAGGGAAGAACAAGUAACGCAGUAACUGGCGUUACCGUGACGGUACCUAACGAGAAAGCCACGGCUAACUACGUGCCAGCAGCCGCGGUAAUACGUAGGUGGCAAGCGUUGUCCGGAAUUAUUGGGCGUAAAGCGCGCGCAGGCGGUUCCUUAAGUCUGAUGUGAAAGCCCACGGCUCAACCGUGGAGGGUCAUUGGAAACUGGGGGACUUGAGUGCAGAAGAGGAGAGCGGAACUCCACGUGUAGCGGUGAAAUGCGUAGAGAUGUGGAGGACACCAGUGGCGAAGGCGGCUCUCUGGUCUGUACUGAUGCCUGAGGCACAAAAGCUGGGGAGCAAACAGGAUUAGAUACCCUGGU